GACGUAGGGCGCGAGCGUUGUCCGGAUUUAUUGGGCGUAAAGAGCUCGUAGGCGGCUUGUCACGUCGGGUGUGAAAGCCCGGGGCUUAACCCCGGGUCUGCAUUCGAUACGGGCAGGCUAGAGUGUGGUAGGGGAGAUCGGAAUUCCUGGUGUAGCGGUGAAAUGCGCAGAUAUCAGGAGGAACACCGGUGGCGAAGGCGGAUCUCUGGGCCGAUACUGACGCUGAGGAGCGAAAGCGUGGGGAGCGAACAGG
rnacentral:rRNA from 1 species